rnacentral:rRNA from 1 species
UACGGAGGGGGCUAGCGUUGUUCGGAUUUACUGGGCGUACAGGGAGCGUAGGCGGUUGGAAAAGCCCUCCGUGAAAUCUCCAGGCUUAACCUGGAAAGUGCAGAGGGGACUGUUCAGCUAGAGGAUGGGAGAGGAGCGCGGAAUUCCCGGUGUAGCGGUGAAAUGCGUAGAGAUCGGGAGGAAGGCCGGUGGCGAAGGCGGCGCUCUGGAACAUUUCUGACGCUGAGGCUCGAAAGCGUGGGGAGCAAACAGG